GGAAACCAGGAUGGAGGGAGAAAGGACUGCUCGGCAGAGACCCCUUUUCCCUGGACCCCGGCAGUAAAGCUUUCCUUAGUGGAAUGAAAUGACCCUGACAGAUUGGGGCCUGUGUGGAGGACUCAAGAGCCUGGGGGCAUGCCAGGGGACCCAGAGUCUGCUGUGACCCGCUAGGUGUUUGGCCUAAGCCCCAGGCCCCCAGGGAACUCUGGCCGGACCUCAGCCACCCAGUCCCAACCCCUAACCACAGACAGGAGUCUGGAGACUGAAGAUCAGACGGGGGUGCCCCUCUUGACCCCCCCCCCCCCACUCCCCUUCUCUCCCUGAGCACCUGUGUGCUUCCCUGCCUGGGACGGUGUUUCUGUACCCAGAUACCCUCUGCCACGAUAAAGGGGCUGUUCCGCUAUGAGACUGCCAUUCUUCCGUGUCAGUUUUGUAUGCACACACGUGGACACACACGCACACAUAUGCACACACACACCAGACAGGAUAGAAAGAAGCAAGAACAACAGCAAAAUAAGACACCAAAAUAGCUGUGUGACCUUGGGCAAGUCGCUGUUAUCUCCCUGCCCCUAGCCUUGGUCACAGGAUUCCUUGGGCCCUUCCCUGCUCUGAAAGCCAAGGAAUCCCUAAGACAGAGAGCCACCAAGGCAGAGGAGGAGGGAUGGGCGGGAGCAGACAGAUGGGUACCCACAGCAAGUGGGUGCUGCUCCCAAGUGCAGCCUGGGCUGGCCAUCAGCCUCCUGUCUGUGAAGUCCUCCAAGACACCCCUUGCUCCGCCUCCCUUCAGAGCUUACUCUCUGCUCCUCGCCCCACACCAGCGAGAGACCUUACCGUGGGGUCCCCGAAGUCCUGGGAGGUGGGCAGGCGCAUGACACAGGUUGGCCGAGUGCACAGUCCUCCUCUCUCUGUGCCUGCGUGGGUUUGCUCGGUCUAAUGGGAUGCUCCUGACACCCCUCCCAGCCCACACACACCGCACACACAAUGAACUGCAAACAUCGGGUAGCUGAGGCUGCUUGUGGCAGGAGGAGCGUGGAGCUGAGCCUCUGGGGCUUGGAGCAGCCCGCUGGCCCCGGAGGGAAGGCACAUUUUGGAUUCACUGCCAGCUUCCUUUCAUUCACAGCCACCAUUAAUUAGGUGGUCUUCUUGCAGCAGGUCACGCCCAGCAGCUCAGGGCACUGUACAAAGCCCAGCCACAGGGGCCUGGC
rnacentral:lncRNA from 1 species